rnacentral:rRNA from 1 species
UGUACCUACGGGGGGCAGCAGUGGGGAAUAUUGCACAAUGGGGGAAACCCUGAUGCAGCAACGCCGCGUGAGUGAAGAAGGAUUUCGGUAUGUAAAGCUCUAUCAGUAGGGAAGCAGAAAGACGGUACCUGACUAAGAAGCCCCGGCUAACUACGUGCCAGCAGCCGCGGUAAUACGUAGGGGGCAAGCGUUAUCCGGAUUUACUGGGUGUAACGGGAGCGUAGACGGCAUAGCAAGUCU